rnacentral:rRNA from 1 species
GAUGAACGCUGACAGAAUGCUUAACACAUGCAAGUCUUUGGCGAAGCUGUGCUUGCACAGCCUAGCCAAGGCGGACGGGUGAGUAACGCGUAAGGAACUUGCCCUGCAGUCAGGGAUAACAGACGGAAACGACUGAUAAGACCUGGUAAAGUCAGGCGGACUCAUGUCCAGCCUGAUGAAAAGAGAUGCUGCAGGAGAGCCUUGCGUCCUAUUAGCUUGUUGGUGGGGUAACGGCCCACCAAGGCGAUGAUAGGUAGCCGGCCUGAGAGGGUGGACGGCCACAAGGGGACUGAGAUACGGCCCUUACGCCUACGGGAGGCAGCAGGGGGGAAUAUUGGACAAUGGGGGCAACCCUGAUCCAGCAAUUCUGUGUGCACGAUGAAGGUUUUCGGAUUGUAAAGUGAUUUCAGCAGGGAAGAAAAAAAUGACGGUACCUGCAGAAGAAGCGACGGCUAAAUACGUG